rnacentral:rRNA from 1 species
ACAUGCAAGUCGAGCGAGGUAGCAAUACCUAGCGGCAGACGGGUGCGUAACAUGUGGGAAUCUGCCUUUUGGUUCGGAAUAACACGAGGAAACUUGUGCUAAUACCGGAUAAGUCCUAACGGAGAAAGUUUUAAUGCCAAAAGAUGAGCCCGCAUUUUAUUAGUUAGUUGGUAGGGUAAUGGCCUACCAAGACUGUGAUCAAUAGCUGAUUUGAGAGGAUGAUCAGCCACAUUGGGACUGAGACACGGCCCAAACUCC